CCUACGGUGUGCAGCAGUGGGGGAUAUUGCACAAUGGGGGGAACCCUGAUGCAGCGACGCCGCGUGGGUGAAGGAGUGCUUCGGCAUGUAAAGCCCUAUCGGCAGGGAAGAAGCAAGACGGUACCUGACUAAGAAGCCCCGGCUAACUACGUGCCAGCAGCCGCGGUAAUACGUAGGGGGCGAGCGUUAUCCGGAUUCACUGAGUGUAAAGGGAGCGUAGACGGCCAUGCAAGCCAGGGGUGAAAUCCCGGGGACCAACCCCGGGACUGCCCGUGGAACUGUUCGGCUAGAGUGCGGGAGGGGCAGGCGGAAUUCCUGGUGUAGCGGUGAAUGGCGUAGAUAGCAGGAGGAACACCGGCGGCGAAGGCGGCCUGCUGGACCGCGACUGACGUUGAGGCUCGAAAGCGUGGGGAGCGAACAGGAUUAGAUACCCUUGUAGUC
rnacentral:rRNA from 1 species